rnacentral:rRNA from 1 species
AUUGAACGCUGGCGGCAUGCCUUACACAUGCAAGUCGAACGGCAGCACGGGUGCUUGCACCUGGUGGCGAGUGGCGAACGGGUGAGUAAUACAUCGGAACAUGUCCUGUAGUGGGGGAUAGCCCGGCGAAAGCCGGAUUAAUACCGCAUACGAUCUACGGAUGAAAGCGGGGGACCUUCGGGCCUCGCGCUAUAGGGUUGGCCGAUGGCUGAUUAGCUAGUUGGUGGGGUAAAGGCCUACCAAGGCGACGCUCAGUAGCUGGUCUGAGAGGACGACCAGCCAAACUGGAACUGAGACACGGGCCAGACUCCUACGGGAGGCAGCAGUGGGGAAUUUUGGACAAUGGGCGAAAGCCUGAUCCAGCAAUGCCGCGUGGGUGAAGAAGGCCUUCGGGUUGUAAAGCCCUUUUGUCCGGAAAGAAAACCCUUGGCCUAAUACCGUCCGGGGAUGACGGUACCGGAAGAAUAAGCACCGGCUAACUACGUG